rnacentral:rRNA from 1 species
GCUUGAGCCUGUGUCACCCUGAAAGUGCCUGAUCUCGUCUGAUCUCAGAAGCGAUACAGGGUUGGGCCUGCUUAAUACCUGGAUGGGAGACCGCCUGGGAAUACCAGUUGUCGUAGGCU